AGUAAAAGUCGUAACAAGGUUUCCGUAGGUGAACCUGCGGAAGGAUCAUUAACGAUUGCUAUAAAUGCAAAGACAAAAACUCACUGCAUUGAACGCUGAAACUCCUGACGAGUUCAGGAAGGAUGAUGCCUCUCACGGCCAUCGUGGUCGUUGCGCUCUGCGCUGCGAACGAUGUAAAACAAACAACCGAUGGCCUCUCAUACAGUAUAAUAUCUCUCGCCAUGGCAUACAGGCCUGGCAUCUGGUACGAGUCUCUCGCAGUCUCAAAACCAACCUUACAACUCUGAGCGGUGGAUCACUUGGCUUGUGGAUGCUAUGAAGACCAUAGCUAAGUGUGAGAAUGGCAGCGAGCCGUCGCUAUAUGCGCUGUCCUCUUCUUAUCACAUGUCGAAUGCACAUUGCGCCCCACCCAGCGGUCGGCUAAACAACCUGCAGACAAAAGCCUGUGAGUUGGAACAAAGGCUAAUGUGUGGCCCUCGAGCAACGGCGGGGGAGCCAGGAGCACAUGAGCGUGCGGACCAACUACUCGUGAGUAGUCAGGCCUGACCCUAUGGUGGGGCACUCCUAGUCGAGUGUGGUGGAUCGGACUCACAUCUCUUGUUGCGCGUUCGCGCGUGAUGGAGUUUGAGUUUCUUUGUUGCUGGUGGCAUUUGGGUCGACAUCAGUCGUGCCCGUAAACAACUGCCUUGGCUCGUGCCUCUGUGCGUAUACCUCUCGAAGGAGCGUACAUUGAAGGCCAUAGCUGGCGAUCACUCUUGCGGCCAGGGCACUACUUCGGUAGUGCGCACAGGUCCAAAAGGAAUUGGUAAUACGAGAAUCGGGUCUCAAUACUCUGGCCGGCUUCUGCACACAAUGUGUGGAGUGAUGAUCACAUGAUUAUCAAGAGCACUGCAAAUCCGCUUUUCUGGUAAGGCCCCGUCCGAGCCCCACCUCUUUUGUAUGCACACACACACAUAUCAGACAGUGCCUCCCCUGACGAGAUCAGGAAGGAUGGUCUGAGAGUGUGUGUGUCACAAGUAACAGAUUGGCCGGCAGUCUUGCAUCACAUCUCUAUGAGGUGUGGUGGUCAUGUUGAUUCUUGAGGUCCCUGCAUACCGUCACUCUGGUAAAGGCUCUUCUUUCUCGUAGUAUUCGGGAAUGACACGAGCUUUACCACUUUUGCUCGAACGCACAAGGACAAGGAAUGGGGGCUGAAGGCCUGACGAGAUCAGGUAAGUGCGUCAAAAGUAACAGAGUGGCCGGCAGUCUCGCAUCACACCGCUUGUUGUACUUCUGUGUGACGUGAUGAUCACAUGGUUAUCGAGAGUCCUGCAAAACCGCUUUUCUGGUAAGGCCCCGUCCGAGCCCCAACCUCUUUUAAAUACAUACCAGACAGUGCCUCCCCUGACGAGAUCAGGAAGGAUGGUCUGAGAGUGUGUGUCAAAAGUAACAGAUUGGCGGGCAGUCUCGCAUCACAUCCGUAUGAGGAGUGGUGAUCAUGUUGAUUCUUGAGGUCCCUGCAUAUCCGCUGCUCUGGUAACGGCUCUUAUUUCUCGUAGUAUUCGAGAAUGACAAGAGCCUUACCACUUUUGCUCGCACACACGAGGACAAGGAAUGAGGACCGAACGCCUGACGAGAUCAGGAAAAAGUGUGCGUCAAAAGUAACAGGGUGGCCGGCAGUCUCGCAUCACUGAACACGUUGUACUUCCGUGUGGUAAAGAAUACGAAUGGAGAGAGACCUGGUUUCUUGUGUUUUUGUAAAUGCCACCACCUCGACUUAGGAGAGGUUACCCGCUGAACUUAAGCAUAUCAGUAAGCGGAGGAAAAGAAACCAAUCAGGGAUUCCCUUAGUAGGGGCGACCGAACAGGGAUGAGCCCAGCGCAGAACCUCCCGGGCCACCCGGCCUGCGGCGGAAUGUUGCGUUAAGGGAAAGGUCGUAGUCAAACCCCACAGCCACGCGAGCUCUAAGUAAGUCACGAAUUGGCUAUCCCAACUAACGGCGGGAAAAUCUCCACGGAGGGUGUAAGACCCGUGUGGGCGCGUGUAAAUGCUGUGUGGGCUCGGCCUCUUUUCCCUGAGAGUCGCGUUGCUUGAGCAUGCAGCGCUAAGCAGGUCGUAAACUCGAUCUAAGGCUAAAUAUGUCCACAAGACCGAUAGCGAACAAGUACCGUGAGGGAAAGUUGAAAAGCACUCUGAAGAGAG
rnacentral:rRNA from 1 species